rnacentral:rRNA from 1 species
GAUCAUGGCUCAGGAUGAACGCUAGCGACAGGCUAACACAUGCGAGUCGAGGGGCAGCACGGGAGUAGCAAUACUUGGUGGCGACCGGCGCACGGGUGAGUAACGCGUAUGCAACCUACCUAUCGAGAGGGGAAUAACCCGGCGAAAGUCGGACUAAUACCGCAUAAAACAGGGGCACCGCAUGGUGAUAUUGUUAAAGAAAUUCGCUGAUAGAUGGGCAUGCGUUCCAUUAGGUAGUUGGUGAGGUAACGGCUCACCAAGCCGACGAUGGAUAGGGGAACUGAGAGGUUGGUCCCCCACACUGGUACUGAGACACGGACCAGACUCCUACGGGAGGCAGCAGUGAGGAAUAUUGGUCAAUGGGCGGGAGCCUGAACCAGCCAAGUCGCCGUGAAGGAAGAAGGAUCUAUGGUUCGUAAACUUCUUUUGCAGGGGAAUAAAGUGCAGGACGUGUCCUGUUUUGUAUGUACCCUGAGAAUAAGGAUCGGCUAACUCCGUGCCAGCCGCGGC